AUGAUUUUUCCUGUUAAAAAAUAUUUGUUCGUUGACAAUUUAAAACAAACCUUCCAAGUACUUCAAGAACUUAAAUACUCUUUAAUAGAUGAAAAUAAAAGGAUUUCUAAUUUCGAUAGUAACAUAAUGUUGGAUCCAUUCCUUUUGAAUUGUCACUUUGUCCAUCAUGAUUCUUGGGAAGAGACAUUGGCAAUAAUUCACCUUGGACAAUUUAUUUGUGAAAAUGUAUGUCUAUUUAAAUCGCACAUAAAAAAUCGGUCAAAUUUUCAUUGUAAAUAUGAAUUCCUUUGUUAUAAGAGCAGCUAA
rnacentral:rRNA from 1 species